rnacentral:rRNA from 1 species
UACGAAGGGGGCUAGCGUUGCUCGGAAUCACUGGGCGUAAAGGGUGCGUAGGCGGGUUUUUAAGUCAGGGGUGAAAUCCUGGAGCUCAACUCCAGAACUGCCUUUGAUACUGAAGAUCUUGAGGUCGGGAGAGGUGAGUGGAACUGCGAGUGUAGAGGUGAAAUUCGUAGAUAUUCGCAAGAACACCAGUGGCGAAGGCGGCUCACUGGCCCGAUACUGACGCUGAGGCACGAAAGCGUGGGGAGCAAACAGG